rnacentral:rRNA from 1 species
GAUGAACGCUGGCGGCGUGCUUAACACAUGCAAGUCGAACGGGAAACCUUUUAUUGAAGCUUCGGCAGAUUUAGCUGGUUUCUAGUGGCGGACGGGUGAGUAACGCGUGGGUAACCUGCCUUAUACAGGGGGAUAACAACCAGAAAUGGUUGCUAAUACCGCAUAAGCGCACAGGACCGCAUGGUCCGGUGUGAAAAACUCCGGUGGUAUAAGAUGGACCCGCGUUGGAUUAGCUAGUUGGCAGGGUAACGGCCUACCAAGGCGACGAUCCAUAGCCGGCCUGAGAGGGUGAACGGCCACAUUGGGACUGAGACACGGCCCAGACUCCUACGGGAGGCAGCAGUGGGGAAUAUUGCACAAUGGGGGAAACCCUGAUGCAGCGACGCCGCGUGAAGGAAGAAGUAUCUCGGUAUGUAAACUUCUAUCAGCAGGGAAGAUAGUGACGGUACCUGACUAAGAAGCCCCGGCGAACUACGU